rnacentral:sRNA from 1 species
CUUUCUCUCACGCUCUCGUCGCCGG